rnacentral:tRNA from 1 species
CUCUCGGUAGCCAAGUUGGUUUAAGGCGCAAGACUGUAAUUGAAAAUUUGUAAUCUUGAGAUCGGGCGUUCGAAUCGCCCCCGAGAGA